rnacentral:rRNA from 1 species
UCGUGGAGUGAUCUGUCUGGUUAAUUCCGCUAACGGACGAGACCUCUCCUUAUUAACUAGUGCGGCUCGCGGCCGAAAGGGUGAAGCGGUGGAGCUGGUUGGCACUUAGGUGCUGGCUGCUUAGCCGUGGAACCUGGCGUGCGGGUUGCUUACUUCUUAGGGGUACAAUCUGCGUUUUAGCAGAGGGGAGCUAGAGGCAAUAACA